rnacentral:rRNA from 1 species
UACGUAGGGCGCAAGCGUUGUCCGGAAUUAUUGGGCGUAAAGAGCUCGUAGGCGGCCUGUUACGUCUGCUGUGAAAUCCCGGGGCUUAACCCCGGGCGUGCAGUGGAUACGGGCAGGCUGGAGGCAGGCAGGGGAGAACGGAAUUCCAGGUGUAGCGGUGAAAUGCGUAGAUAUCUGGAGGAACACCGGUGGCGAAGGCGGCAUCCUGGACCGGCACUGACGCUGAGGAGCGAAAGCCAGGGGAGCAAACGGG